CAGCCGCCACGGGAAUACGGAGGGGGCUAGCGUUGUUCGGAAUUACUGGGCGUAAAGCGCACGUAGGCGGCUUGGUAAGGUAGAGGUGAAAGCCUGGAGCUCAACUCCAGAAUUGCCUUUAAGACUGCCGAGCUAGCAGGUGAGAGAGGUAAGUGGAAUUCCGAGUGUAGAGGUGAAAUUCGUAGAUAUUCGGAAGAACACCAGUGGCGAAGGCGGCUUACUGGCUCAUACUGGACGCUGAGGUGCGAAAGCGUGGGGAGCAAACAGGAUUAGAUACCCGCGUAGUCCCUGUCUCUUAUAC
rnacentral:rRNA from 1 species